ensembl:lncRNA
AUGCUAGUGGUGUUUCAGCUAGAGAAAUGUGUUUUCCGUUGUUUCGCUCCUGGCACCUGUUAUCCACUAACUGUACUUGGUUUGGGGCAUUUGUUUAACAGUUGCGGAUGAAAACUCGACUGGGAUUUGUUGCUGCGUCACGACUCCAGACAUAUUUACUGAAGCGGAUAUUUCUCCAAAAAGUGUGUGUAUUCUCUGUGUGCUCUGGUGCACACACAUCGACUGGUCUGCAUGGCCGCAUGUUCAGGAUCAGAUUCAUGGGCCUUCAUUUCUGUGUAAAGUCGCUAUGACACAUCUGUAAAUAGGUGAUGGAUGAUAAGAGGAUGCAAAUAGAUACAGGAAGAAGGAAGCUUGAUGGAGAGAAUGAGAUCCGGAGAGAGAGGAAAAGCUCAACCCAAACCUGUCAGUCUCGUCCACGCUGCUCUGCUUUCCGCGGCCACGACGUUUUUCCGUUCUCAUGCAACACCUCUUUGCAAACCCAUAACUCUCCAACACUUAACUACCAGCACUAAAACAUCUCCUAUUAAAUAGCUUGAAGACAACUCCUUAUACUGCAGACUGAGACAGAGAAUCCGUGUUUACGGCCAGACUCCUCUCAGAUUGCUAUCCAGCGGUGUCGUGCUUUGUGGGACUUGAUCUGCAGUUGCGAAACGUUUGAUUCUCCUCAACGUGUACUGCAUGACAACUGAACUUAAAGUCAGUUGCUACAUGACUCACACGGUGUCAUCAUCCCCCACUUUGGCACAGGAGGAUGUUGUGGGUGUUUGAUUCAUUUGUAGACACGUACCAUAUCAUCUUUCCCCACCCAGUGUCUCUUUGAGCAUUCCUCUUCUCUUUCUCAUCUUUAUGUUCCGUCUCCCACUCAUUCCCUUUCUUAUUCUCUUUCCCCAGUGUCUUUCCUUAAACAAUUUUCAGUUGUAGUUGUGAGAUUAAAAGUGAUUCAGGGAUUGUGAAGUAACGUAAACAGCAUGAAAUUAGUGCAGGCAAACUAUUCUUUCAAAUGUUCCAGAGCUUAAAGCUUACAGCAGUCCAAUAAUGGAGGUAUUUCUAAAAUCAUUGUCAUUAGAACCAGCUUUUGGGAGUAAUCUACCUCUCUCAGAGGAGCUGGGUAAUUAUCUUUACCAUCUCUGGUGUCAAAUAGGGGUUCUUCCUGCUGUAAAUAAUUCCAAGACCCCAUAGGUGUAAAGCUGUUUGGAAGUCACGGUGAAGGCAAAAGACCACAGGGACCAUAAAUUAUUCUUUGUGCGGAGCACAGAUGGAAAAAAUGUUUUUACCUACCAGAACCCAACAAACCCAAAGUGACAGCGGCGGGGAAUUAAGCCACUAGUCUUAUCUAGUAAAAAAAUGAUUAAAGUCUAAUAACUUGGAUAUAACACCUUAUAACAAAUCAAUCAAACAACUCACUUUCAGGCCACAGCUGCUUUCAGCCAUUUGUUCCACCAUUUGUUUUUGUUAAAUAACAGAUUGUUUCACCGUAAAUUAGUGUUCACCACAGGCCAGGCUUUAGGAAAGUGAUACGGUGAGCUUAGCGUGGUGCAGUGUGCAAAUGGAGAGGCAGUAGAAGAGCAAAGCAAUGAUUCAUGUGACCGAAUAUACGAGAAGUUCUGUUUGGUUUAAGCAUCAUUUUAAAAUUCCAGUAAGUUCAACACAGAAAUGACCUCUAUUAUGACGAUUACUGAUAUGCACCACAUCCUGAGUGCGCGUGUGUGUGUGUGUGUGUGUGUUUCAAUCAGGUUCUAUCUCCCAAGAUGCGUGAUUAUAAUACACUACAAGUAUACCAAAAGUAAGGUUAGUGGUAUUUCCUGGGGUAAACCAUCAGAGCCAAUUUGUUUCAAUCUCGAUUGAGGAUCGGAAUAUCUACUGCCAAAUAAAUCAUCCAAGUACAACAAACCUGCCUAUAUCACUCGCAUCCAAUCACAGUCCCUCAGCACCACCAGAUCUGUGCUGCAUUAGUCGUCCCUGACGCCACAUGUCGGCCUACAGAGAAAUUUACCCUUUGAACUGGAUGAGAGUUCUUCUUAGGACACAAACGUCUACUGAUUGAAAGAAUGGUCGAUGCCAGAUUUCCCAAACACGUUUCGCAGUCAUUUCAGCUUCAUCCAAGAUCUCAGGCUCACUCGAAUACAUAAGGAUUGGUGUAAUUUGAGAAAUGUGCAGAAACCAUUUUAGGCUCCAACCCAAAAGUUAAGACAAUGAUAUGAGCACAUUUCAAAUUUGACUGAUGUUGGACACCGAUCCCUCAGUGAUGAUUGUUAUAGCGAUCUUUGACUCUUUGCUUGCUGCUGGUUAUUGGGAGAUUCAUUUAGUCAUGUUUGCAAAACGCCCUACAAAAUCAUAGCUUUUCUCUGGUACCAUUUGAACCCGACUGCAAUGGGAUUGUCCUGCCUGAUUCUGUCAUUCUAUAAUACACUUUUAUCGCAUCAAUAUGUGUGUAAAACGGUGUAAAAAAUGUCAACCGUGACCAUGUAAUGAUCAUUAUACCAGUGGUUUGAGUUCCCUGACCACAACCAUACUUUAUUCAUGCUUUAGUUGCCCUUAUGAAAAAAUAGUGUUGACAAAACAAAUGUUUUGUCUUUCGUUUACAUUAAAAAAAGAAGAAAACUGCUUUGCAGCAAGCAACGAAACAACCGCCCUAUCUCACAAACUCACUCGCAUAAUUAGCCUACCGUUGCUUUUAUAUGGAGGCCAUUAUCACUGGCUAUAAACAGCCACUGUACUCAGUCGCCCCUCUCUUUUGGUCAGAUGCAGGAUCCGUCAUGUUUUACUGGCCUCAUGUGCUUCACAUACGUGGAGCAUGUGUGCUGACCAGCUCCACGCGCGUCCUCCGUGGGUAGACGUUGUUGGUAUAUUUCACAUUACUCAGGGAUCUCAGCCAAUGGAGUCAAUGAUUUGGAUCCAAAACAAGUUUAUGUUCUGGGAAACAUUACAAAAAACAAAGUUUUACUUCAGCAUAAUUGCUGUGGUUAGUUCUGAUGUUGUGUAACAACAGUUUGAAAAUACUUGUGACAAUUUUUUAUACUUCCAUUACCAUUGAACGGUAACAUGUUUGCUUUGGGUUCAAAAGGAAUUUCCAACUUACUAACGUCAUCUGAGGUUUUAUGAACUUUUUCUGAGAAUUUGAUGUCAUGAGGUAAAGAAAGCCUAUUUGUUUCUAAAGAUUUACUCGUAUUAAAUAUUUGGAAUGCACAGUAUAACAACCCCUACGGAAUUAUUACAUCAACAUAUAUCAAAGUAUUAUUUACAUUUUUUAGACAUUUUGCUGAUAUCUGUAUCAUAGGAAGGGAAUACUUAUUAUGUAUGACACUUUUCUCCUUUUUUCCCAAAUUAGCUGGGAAGGUUUGGUUACGGCUCUUGUACCUACGAUAUACAACCUGUUUGAGUAGGUCCAUGAGAUCAAACCAUACACAAUGCCAAAUACAGAUUUUUAGUUUAUCUGACUUUAUUCUACUUUCAGCUAGAAUCACCGUGUGUUCACAUGUCCGUGCUAAACCUUCUAACUCUGCUCAUUAGCAGGAGUGAGCUAUGGCUUUCAUCAUAAAACACCAGCCCUUAAAUCCUGCUGUUUUAUGGGUCCUGGGUGUUUUUAUAUGACUGGUUUUCCAACAUGAAAUGAAUUGCUUGUGUGCAAAUAAUCAAAACUUGUUCAUUUUCAGUGCCUCCGGCCGCUUUUGGGGGAGAGUCUUUCUCCUGGUUGGCGAAUAUAAAACUUUGUGACUAAAAUGACAAAGAACUGGCAAAUAAUUUAUGGUUAUUGUUAUGUUUCUUCAGAAACAUAGCAACCUGCUUGUGUUUAGGUUUGUGAUUCACGUAGUAAUAUAGAAGUAUUAUGUAACGCCUUCCAUAACACCAGAACAUAGAAAAAUACUUAAUGUUGGGGCUAUGGAUUAAAAAUAUCUCAACUAUUUCAGAAAAUAUUAUCAUGAAAUUCAGCACAGUCAUCCAGUGAAUUAAUCCUACUGACUUGUCAAUGCAAUUCAAUCAAAAAAAGAUUGUACAGCCCAAAAUCAGACGUUGGGCCCAGAGGGCUUAACAAUCUGCAAACAUACAACAUCCGCUGAGACCAACACAUCUGUAAAAAAGAUGAUUACAUUUCCUUUCAGCAUCAUGAAACCGACACUUUGGGGUUUUAAAUGAACGACUGUUACAUGGAUUAAAUGGAUUUGAAUAACUUUGCUGGUUCCGUCAUUGUUCGUCGAGCAGCAUCCUCAGCUGAGGAAUUAGAUUUGUGUAACAUAUACCUUCAUAACUAGUGACAUUCUGCUUUAGCUCUACUUAACAACAAUGCAACUACGCUAACAAGUAGAUGCUAGCUCACUAAACUACGAUCCUAAAUGGUGCAACGAGCUCUCUGAAGACAUCAGGACCGCAGAGAAUCUUUAUAUCUUCCACCGCAAACUGAAGACACACCUCUUCAGACUCCACGUUGACUAAAAACACUAAACAAAUUGUAGCACUUAAAUUGUAGCCUACUGAUAACGGCUCUUAACUAUAGCAAGUUGUGAAACGGCUUAUUUGAUGAAAUCGCACUUUCUUGUUUCUUGUUGUUCUGGGUUUGUUUCCUUAUGGUUGAAAUGCACUUAUUGUAAGUCGCUUAGGAUAAAAGCGUCAGCUUAAUGACAUGUAAUGUUAUGUAAUGAAUGACAUUAGGACUGCUGUUCAUAGGUACAUAGGCUCAUCCUCACAAGGUUCCAGUUUAUAAGCUCUCAAUCUAGUUCAGAAGAAUGUGUAUUGUGGACACUGUGUGGAAAACUUCCAUGGCUCAAUAUAGA